rnacentral:rRNA from 1 species
UACAGAGGUCCCAAGCGUUGUUCGGAUUCACUGGGCGUAAAGGGCGCGUAGGCGGCUCGGCACGUCCGUUGUGAAAUCGCCCGGCUCAACUGGGCGGGGUCGGCGGAUACGGCCGAGCUGGAGCAAGCUAGGGGGUAAUGGAAUUCCUGGUGUAACGGUGGAAUGCGCAGAUAUCAGGAGGAACACCGGUGGCGAAGGCGGGUCUCUGGGCAGUAACUGACGCUGAGGAGCGAAAGCGUGGGGAGCGAACAGG